AUGGUCGCAAACCUGAAGAAACACUUCCAGAGACAAAAUUAACGAGCUCUGGUGGGUUAGGUAUGACAUUCUUUGGCGAUAAACGCGAUAUAGCACAAAGUUCUGAAUAUUAUACUGGACAAUCGACUGCCGGAGUUCAAAAUUAUACACAAUCCACAACAGGUUGGAUAGAUCGCUUGUGGGGUAAUGGAAAAUCAUGAAUGUGUUUCAUUAUAAACCGGAAGUUUUACGUAUAUUUCCUAUAUACAACGCACUUUUAUUACUAUAUUAAGUCAUUUAAAUUUAUAAUUAAAAAAUAGUAAAAUAUUUUAUAAAAUUAAUUGAUUUUAAU